GAGUGAAGAGGGAAGAGCUCAUCAUUGGAAUCUGGCAGCGUCUCGCUGUCCGAGUUGUAGAUGAGAAGAGUGGGCCAUCUGGACUGCAUGGUGUCCAAGUACAAUAGGCCGUCAGUGGGACAUCAUAGAGGGUGACAAUCCCGUCCUUGACACCAAUGUACGAGUCCUUUUACGAUGCCUAUCUCGGAGAGUCGAGCAGUUUGGGAUUUGCUGCUUAAACAUGGGAGGUAGAUUCCUUCCAAAGCUAAAUACAGGCAAGAGACCGAUAGAGAACAAGUACCGCAAGGGAAAGAUGAAAUAGAACUCUGUGAAGGGAGUCAAAAGACGUGAAAUUGUUGCGAGAGAAGCGAUUCAAGUCAGCGUAGCUGGGCCCAUCAAGCCUCGCGCUUUGGACCAGCUUUGCCAGCGGUCUUGUCCUAGAGACUCGACUAAGGUGCCCUGCCCGGUCUGACGGGCAGACCUUCCCCCCUGGGGGAGGCCAGCGGCACGGCUGGUGGAAUGGCUUGCAAUCGACCCGUCUUGAAACACGGACCAAGGAGUCUAACAUGCAUGCGAGUAUAAGGGUGGCAAACCCGUAUGCGCAAAGAAAGUGAUAGCCUUUACGGCUGUGAAUGACCUGAUGACCAGACAAGCGAUAUCAUGUCCCUCGUACGGUCAUUGCCCAAGUCCCGUGGUCAGAUCCCAUGGACAUGGAGUUGGAGCGUGCAUGCUAGGACCCGAAAGAUGGUGAACUAUGCCUGGACAAAGCGAAGCCAAAGGAAACUCUGGUGGAGGCUUGUAGCGAUUCUGACGUGCAAAUCGAUCGUCUGAUCUG
rnacentral:rRNA from 1 species